UUUUUUUGAGUCGGAGUCUCACUCUGUCCCCCCCCAGGCUGCAGUGCAGUGGCGCGAUCUUCGCUCACUGCAAGCUCCGCCUCCCGGGUUCACGCCAUUCUCCUGCCUCAGCCUCCCGAGUAGCUGGAACUCCAGGCGCCCGCCAUUAUGCUCGGCUCAUUUUUUGUGUUUUCAGUAGAGACGGGGUUUCACUGUGUUAGCCAGGAUAGUCUUGAUCUCCUGACCUCGUGAUCCUGACCUCGGCCUCCCAAAGUGCUGGGAUUACAGGCGCCAGCCACCGCGCCCGGCAGCAAUAUGAAGUUCUAAAAGCAAGUCUUCAUCAGGAAGUGUCCUUGAUCACCAAAGGCUCGCCCAGGCAUGCUGGCUCUCUUACACUUCCACCUUCCACCAUGGGAUGACGCAGUAAGAAGGCCAUCAGUAGAUGCCAGUCCCUCAACCUUGAACUUUCCAGAUGCAGAACUUUUAAACAUUUCAUUCCAUCAUCGUGUUCCUGGUUUCUAUGAGAACUCCACUGUCAUUCUUAUUCUUGUUCCUCUAAAUGUGAGGUAUUUUUUUCUCCUUGGGCUUCUUUCAAGAUUUUUCUCAUUGACUCUGGUUCGCUUAUGACAUGCCUAGGUGUAGUCCAUUUUGAGUAUUAUGUAAUGAGACACCAGAUCUUAUUUCAACCUUCUGUUUUGGCUGGAUUUCCUCUGAAACUGCUCUGGCAGCAAAGGAGGAAGGGUUACUCCCAGCUAGGGUUAUAAUUCCAGGUCCCUCACCUGGCCGCUGGGGAAGAGGCUCCGCAUUACUGCGUGACAGAGAUGCAAGUUCUGAAUCACCUCUAGGCCUCCACUGAGACGCUCCAUCUGGGAUGACUGGAAUUUUGGUUUCUGCUCACCACCUCCACUGAGACGCUGCAUCUGGGAUGACUAGGAAUUUUGGUUUCUGCUCACCACCUCCGCUGAGACGCUCCAUCUGGGAUGACUAGGAAUUUUGGUUUCUGCUCACCACCUCCGCUGAGACGCUCCAUCUGGGAUGACUAGGAAUUUUGCUUUCUGCUCACCACCUCCGCUGAGACGCUCCAUCUGGGAUGACUAGGAAUUUUGGUUUCUGCUCACCACCUCCGCUGAGACGCUCCAUCUGGGAUGACUAGGAAUUUUGGUUUCUGCUCACCACCUCCGCUGAGACGCUCCAUCUGGGAUGACUAGGAAUUUUGGUUUCUGCUCACCACCUCCGCUGAGACGCUCCAUCUGGGAUGACUAGGAAUUUUGCUUUCUGCUCACCACCUCCGCUGAGACGCUCCAUCUGGGAUGACUAGGAAUUUUGGUUUCUGCUCACCACCUCCGCUGAGACGCUCCAUCUGGGAUGACUAGGAAUUUUGGUUUCUGCUCACCACCUGGCCUCCUUUGACACACCCAGCGGGGAGGCAGGGUGGGCUCCUCAUUACUGCUAAGUGGGGGUAGAAGUUUAGGCUUUCCCCCGUGGCAAUGGAGACCUGUCUCCUUACGUGGCCCUCUCUGACACCAACCCAUGGGAGUGAGACAUGCCCUGUAAGGGGCUUUGGUGGCCGUGGAGGCGAGGAACAGUCUCUCUCACUGUGUUUGGCUGGAGUAGCGUGGUGUUGCCGAAAGUCUUCUGUCUGCGGAGGCUGUACCUUUGGCCCUUUGGCAAGAGAGCAGUCUUUGGUUAGGAUUUCCAGGUUGCUGGCUUCUUUAUGUCCAUUUCUGGGAUAUAUGUGCCAAAUAAAACAAAAUGAAACAAAAACCAGGGAACACACAGUCAUAUAGUUCUUUUAAAGCACUACAUGGCCAAAGUUUUCAGCCAGUGUGCUUUCUUCUUUUCAUAUUUUAGAGUCUCCUUAUGUUUAUUUUGUACACAAUAUCCUAGGUUUUACUAAAUGGGAAGAAUAAGAAGAAGUAUGUCUACUAUCUUUCUAUUCUAACAAUAUUUUGUUAUUAUAUAAUAAAGUCCAUUUUAAUAUUAUUGAGAGGUAUUUAUUUAGAAAAUGCUUUUUAAUGAUUUUAGGUAAUCACCUAUUUCUAUGUAUUUUUAUUCUUCUGCAUGCUAACAUUUCUCUUUUAUGUGUGUUCUAUCUAUUUCCAUGUGCCAGGUUAUUUCCUAAACUGGCAUUUUGUUAUUAGAGCUAACAUAGUCAAUUUAGAGCCAUGAGAGAAAAGAUCUUUCUUUCUCUCUCAGUAGAUCUUUUUACGGUCUGAUAGGAAGAUCGGGAGUUCAGAGGGCCUUCAUUCAAUUGUAAAUCCUGCUGUUUAUUCUCUAAUCUUAUUCUAUGAUUUUUAAAAUGGCAGAGUUGAAUGUUUAUUCUGAUAAUGCCUGUUUCAUGAGCCACACCGUAGCUUGGAAGCAUCUGCAUCCCCUAUACUUUGUGACAUGUUACAUGGGUAUUGCACGAGCAAUCCAAGUAUUAAGAGCAACCCAACCAAGAUAUUCCUAUUGAUGGCAAGCCACUGAAUUUGAAUGCAAACAAUAAAAACACAGGUGAUGAGCUGUCAAAAGUUAUGCAUUUUUGAUCGAUUACUGCAUUAAAACACUAUUGUAUAAGACAUAGCUCCAGACAGACAAUCGCCUUGUGAGAUUAAUCUAGAUUCACAGGUGAAUACUACUUUUUAAAAGUCAGCAUUCUUUACAUGCCAGAGUUGUCAGUCUUACAGUUUAUUCAAGGAUUAUUGGCCACUCCACAGUCUGUUGCAUGUAUCCUGAAAAGCAUAUUGACAUCCACUUAUGACUCCCUCUCAUGUUAAAUGGAGUAGCUGCACCUUUGAAAAUGGUGCAUUGAUUACCUAAUUUUCCUCUUCCCCCUAAAGCAUCCAACAUUUGUGUUUCAUUUGUAGUGCUACUUUCCUUGCUCAGAAGUAUGGACUUCAUUUCAUCCAUUUCCUCAAGCCAAUUGAUGGGCUGAGUGAUUGGCAGUGGAUCUGAUUGCCAGGUUUCAUUCACCCAUGAGCUGUACACACCUGUUCCUCUGCCAGUUCAAUAAUAUUCUCAACACAUACAACGCGACUCUGAUGACAAAAGCUCCAUAGCUUGAUUGAAUUCCUUAGUGCCUCUUUUCUAUGCCUUUUUCUGAGAUUCCCACUCUUAUUAACCCUUUCAAUUGUAUACUUCCCUACAUUUCUUCUUUAAUGAUUAUUUCUUUGCACAUGUUUAGAAAAUUUGCAUUACAAGACUAAUAUUUUACUAUUUCCUUACAUUUUGAAUUCUCAACAAAAAUCACCCAACUGCCCCCCUGACGUAAUUCUUAGCAGACCAAAAAUCCAAAUAAUUUUCAUUCUAAUGUCAUAUCUCAUACACUUUGUAAGGAAUUGAUUUCUUUCAACCUCCCAUUCUCAACACUUCACAUUGUACAGUGCUCUCUGUUUAACGAUUCAAAGCACUGAAAAUGUUCUAAUGAUUUGUUUUCUUAUUUUCCACAUUAUCUUUAAUUCCAUAAAUGCCAAACUUGCCUGGGCCUUUGACAAACAAACUAGGAAUAUUAAAGCCAUAGAUACACAAUUUUACUUUAGGUUUAGUUAUAUUGUGAUUUAAAAGUUCAAAAUCUCAGUGGUUAAAACAGUAAGGCCUAUUUCUUGCUCAAGCUGCAAAUUCAUAGUAGGUUGGCUGAAGUUCUCCUCCAUCUUUUUCAUUCUGGGGCCAUCAUUAUCUACUUGUUUGUUCACUGAUAAGCUUUUAUUUUUCUCUCUUCUCUAUAGAAAAAAAAAUACUCUCUCACUUUUUCUUCCCAAACCAUGUAGCCAUUUUUAACUAUUCCAUCAUCAAUUAGUUUCUAGCUAAUAUUCUCUGACCAAAUCUAGUGACUUCCUUCCUCCUAUCGUUUUAGCUACUUUUUAUGUACAAUCCUCCCUGAUAAUGUUCACAUUAUAUUCUCUAGCUGUAAUGUGUUUAAAAGCGUGCGUGUGUGUUUAUGUGUGCGCAUAUAUGUGCAUAUUCUCUAGAUGCAGUCAGAGGAGGAAUUAAUACAGAAACUUAGUUUGCUUUCUCUCAGAAUCGAAUAUGGACUUUUGAAUGAAUUGUCUACAUAUGUCCUUUUGGAAUCAUUGAUAGGAAAGCAUUUGAUCUCUUAGAGAAAAUGAAUAAGAUGCAGUAAUAUAUAGUUACCAUUGUCAAUGAGGCUCAGAAAAGUAAAAUAAAAUAAAUACAGAUGCUUUGAAAUAAUAUAGGUACUACUGUACAACAUGUUUACGAAUUACUGACUACAACUAUUGGAUGUGUUUUAAGAGUAUUUUUGUUCUUAAUGUCUUGGUUGUGGCACUGAAUAUUUGUAUUUUGAAAGUUUUAUGUUCACAAAAAGCAUGUUGCUCUGUUUCGUUGUUGAGCUGGGUUAUAAUUAUGUUAACUCUUAUGUUUACUCAUUGGCUUUUAGUAUUUCCUAACUUCAGUGAUUAGAUUAAAUUAUCCUACCCUAAACAAAGUUAUAGUUUUUCAUUUAUAUGAGUGAUUAUUUUAUCAUAGUUAUCCCUUCUACUAAACUAUGACAGCUCUAAGGGUAAAAGACAUAUGAAUAUUUGGCUGUCAUUGUAUUCCCAGAGCCUAGCAUAGAGUACCUUGUUGAAAAAUAUUUUUGAUUUAACAAAUCAAUACAAAAUAUUUUUGUAGGUACUAUUUUGUAGCUAUCUAUCUUGU